rnacentral:rRNA from 1 species
AGGAGCUUGCUCUUCAAAUCGAGUGGCGAACGGGUGAGUAACGCGUGAGGAACCUGCCUUUCAGUGGGGGACAACAGUUGGAAACGACUGCUAAUACCGCAUAAGCCCACGACCCGGCAUCGGGUAGAGGGAAAAGGAGCAAUCCGCUUUGAGAUGGGCUCGCGUCCGAUUAGCUAGUUGGUGAGAUAACAGCCCACCAAGGCGACGAUCAGUAGCCGGUCUGAGAGGAUGAACGGCCACAUUGGGACUGAGAUACGGCCCAGACUCC